rnacentral:rRNA from 1 species
AGCGUACACGGUGGAUGCCCUGGCAGUCAGAGGCGAUGAAGGACGUGCUAAUCUGCGAUAAGCGUCGGUGAGGUGAUAUGAACCGUUAUAACCGGCGAUUUCCGAAUGGGGAAACCCAGUGUGUUUCGACACACUAUCAUUAACUGAAUCCAUAGGUUAAUGAGGCGAACCGGGGGAACUGAAACAUCUAAGUACCCCGAGGAAAAGAAAUCAACCGAGAUUCCCCCAGUAGCGGCGAGCGAACGGGGAGGAGCCCAGAGCCUGAAUCAGUGUGUGUGUUAGUGGAAGCGUCUGGAAAGGCGUGCGAUACAGGGUGACAGCCCCGUACACAAAAAUGCACAUAUUGUGAGCUCGAUGAGUAGGGCGGGACACGUGGUAUCCUGUCUGAAUAUGGGGGGACCAUCCUCCAAGGCUAAAUACUCCUGACUGACCGAUAGUGAACCAGUACCGUGAGGGAAAGGCGAAAAGAACCCCGGCGAGGGGAGUGAAAAAGAACCUGAAACCGUGUACGUACAAGCAGUGGGAGCCUCUUAAUGGGGUGACUGCGUACCUUUUGUAUAAUGGGUCAGCGACUUAUAUUCUGUAGCAAGGUUAACCGAAUAGGGGAGCCGAAGGGAAACCGAGUCUUAACUGGGCGUUAAGUUGCAGGGUAUAGACCCGAAACCCGGUGAUCUAGCCAUGGGCAGGUUGAAGGUUGGGUAACACUAACUGGAGGACCGAACCGACUAAUGUUGAAAAAUUAGCGGAUGACUUGUGGCUGGGGGUGAAAGGCCAAUCAAACCGGGAGAUAGCUGGUUCUCCCCGAAAGCUAUUUAGGUAGCGCCUCGUGAAUUCAUCUCCGGGGGUAGAGCACUGUUUCGGCAAGGGGGUCAUCCCGACUUACCAACCCGAUGCAAACUGCGAAUACCGGAGAAUGUUAUCACGGGAGACACACGGCGGGUGCUAACGUCCGUCGUGAAGAGGGAAACAACCCAGACCGCCAGCUAAGGUCCCAAAGUCAUGGUUAAGUGGGAAACGAUGUGGGAAGGCCCAGACAGCCAGGAUGUUGGCUUAGAAGCAGCCAUCAUUUAAAGAAAGCGUAAUAGCUCACUGGUCGAGUCGGCCUGCGCGGAAGAUGUAACGGGGCUAAACCAUGCACCGAAGCUGCGGCAGCGACGCUUAUGCGUUGUUGGGUAGGGGAGCGUUCUGUAAGCCUGUGAAGGUGGCCUGUGAGGGUUGCUGGAGGUAUCAGAAGUGCGAAUGCUGACAUAAGUAACGAUAAAGCGGGUGAAAAGCCCGCUCGCCGGAAGACCAAGGGUUCCUGUCCAACGUUAAUCGGGGCAGGGUGAGUCGACCCCUAAGGCGAGGCCGAAAGGCGUAGUCGAUGGGAAACAGGUUAAUAUUCCUGUACUUGGUGUUACUGCGAAGGGGGGACGGAGAAGGCUAUGUUGGCCGGGCGACGGUUGUCCCGGUUUAAGCGUGUAGGCUGGUUUUCCAGGCAAAUCCGGAAAAUCAAGGCUGAGGCGUGAUGACGAGGCACUACGGUGCUGAAGCGACAAAUGCCCUGCUUCCAGGAAAAGCCUCUAAGCAUCAGGUAACAUCAAAUCGUACCCCAAACCGACACAGGUGGUCAGGUAGAGAAUACCAAGGCGCUUGAGAGAACUCGGGUGAAGGAACUAGGCAAAAUGGUGCCGUAACUUCGGGAGAAGGCACGCUGAUAUGUAGGUGAAGCGACUUGCUCGUGGAGCUGAAAUCAGUCGAAGAUACCAGCUGGCUGCAACUGUUUAUUAAAAACACAGCACUGUGCAAACACGAAAGUGGACGUAUACGGUGUGACGCCUGCCCGGUGCCGGAAGGUUAAUUGAUGGGGUUAGCGGUAACGCGAAGCUCUUGAUCGAAGCCCCGGUAAACGGCGGCCGUAACUAUAACGGUCCUAAGGUAGCGAAAUUCCUUGUCGGGUAAGUUCCGACCUGCACGAAUGGCGUAAUGAUGGCCAGGCUGUCUCCACCCGAGACUCAGUGAAAUUGAACUCGCUGUGAAGAUGCAGUGUACCCGCGGCAAGACGGAAAGACCCCGUGAACCUUUACUAUAGCUUGACACUGAACAUUGAGCCUUGAUGUGUAGGAUAGGUGGGAGGCUUUGAAGUGUGGACGCCAGUCUGCAUGGAGCCGACCUUGAAAUACCACCCUUUAAUGUUUGAUGUUCUAACGUGGGCCCCUUACCGGGGUUGCGGACAGUGUCUGGUGGGUAGUUUGACUGGGGCGGUCUCCUCCUAAAGAGUAACGGAGGAGCACGAAGGUUGGCUAAUCCUGGUCGGACAUCAGGAGGUUAGUGCAAUGGCAUAAGCCAGCUUGACUGCGAGCGUGACGGCGCGAGCAGGUGCGAAAGCAGGUCAUAGUGAUCCGGUGGUUCUGAAUGGAAGGGCCAUCGCUCAACGGAUAAAAGGUACUCCGGGGAUAACAGGCUGAUACCGCCCAAGAGUUCAUAUCGACGGCGGUGUUUGGCACCUCGAUGUCGGCUCAUCACAUCCUGGGGCUGAAGUAGGUCCCAAGGGUAUGGCUGUUCGCCAUUUAAAGUGGUACGCGAGCUGGGUUUAGAACGUCGUGAGACAGUUCGGUCCCUAUCUGCCGUGGGCGCUGGAGAACUGAGGGGGGCUGCUCCUAGUACGAGAGGACCGGAGUGGACGCAUCACUGGUGUUCGGGUUGUCAUGCCAAUGGCACUGCCCGGUAGCUAAAUGCGGAAGAGAUAAGUGCUGAAAGCAUCUAAGCACGAAACUUGCCCCGAGAUGAGUUCU